rnacentral:tmRNA from 1 species
GGGGGCGACAUGGCUUUCGACGCGGAUAGCAAAACCUGAGGUGCAUGUCGAGGAUGUAGAUUCCCUCGUUAAUCCAUCUGCAAACUGAUAGUUGCCAACGACGACAACUACGCACUCGCCG